rnacentral:rRNA from 1 species
CUUCGGUGGGGAUUAGUGGCGAACGGGUGAGUAACACGUGGGCAAUCUGCCCUGCACUCUGGGACAAGCCCUGGAAACGGGGUCUAAUACCGGAUACUGAUCCUCGCAGGCAUCUGCGAGGUUCGAAAGCUCCGGCGGUGCAGGAUGAGCCCGCGGCCUAUCAGCUAGUUGGUGAGGUAACGGCUCACCAAGGCGACGACGGGUAGCCGGCCUGAGAGGGCGACCGGCCACACUGGGACUGAGACACGGCCCAGACUCCUACGGGAGGCAGCAGUGGGGAAUAUUGCACAAUGGGCGAAAGCCUGAUGCAGCGACGCCGCGUGAGGGAUGACGGCCUUCGGGUUGUAAACCUCUUUCAGCAGGGAAGAAGCGAAAGUGACGGUACCUGCAGAAGAAGCGCCGGCUAACUACGUGCCAGCAGCCGCGGUAAUACGUAGGGCGCAAGCGUUGUCCGGAAUUAUUGGGCGUAAAGAGCUCGUAGGCGGCUUGUCACGUCGGUUGUGAAAGCCCGGGGCUUAACCCCGGGUCUGCAGUCGAUACGGGCAGGCUAGAGUUCGGUAGGGGAGAUCGGAAUUCCUGGUGUAGCGGUGAAAUGCGCAGAUAUCAGGAGGAACACCGGUGGCGAAGGCGGAUCUCUGGGCCGAUACUGACGCUGAGGAGCGAAAAGCGUGGGGAGCGAACAGGAUUAGAUACCCCUGGUAGUCCACGCCGUAAACGGUGGGGCACUAUGUGUGGGC